AUACGGAGGGUGCAAGCGUUGUCCGGAUUUAUUGGGUUUAAAGGGUGCGUAGGCGGGCCUAUAAGUCAGUGGUGAAAUACUUCGGCUCAACCGGAGAGGUGCCAUAGAUACUGUAGGCCUUGAGUGAAAUUGAAGUAGGCGGAAUUGAUGGUGUAGCGGUGAAAUGCAUAGAUAUCAUCAAGAACACCGAUAGCGAAGGCAGCUUACUUAGUUUCAACUGACGCUGAUGCACGAAAGCGUGGGGAGCGAACAGGAUUAGAAACCCCAGUAGUCC
rnacentral:rRNA from 1 species